GAUGAACGCUGGCGGCGUGCCUAAUACAUGCAAGUCGAGCGAACGGACGAGAAGCUUGCUUCUCUGAUGUUAGCGGCGGACGGGUGAGUAACACGUGGAUAACCUACCUAUAAGACUGGGAUAACUUCGGGAAACCGUAGCUAAUACCGGAUAAUAUUUUGAACCGCAUGGUUCAAAAGUGAAAGACGGUCUUGCUGUCACUUAUAGAUGGAUCCGCGCUGCAUUAGCUAGUUGGUAAGGUAACGGCUUACCAAGGCAACGAGGCAUAGCCGACCUGAGAGGGUGAUCGGCCACACUGGAACUGAGACACGUGCCAGACUCCUACGGGAGGCAGCAGUAGGGAAUCUUCCGCAAUGGGCGAAAGCCUGACGGAGCAACGCCGCGGGAGUGAUGAAGGUCUUCGGAUCGGAAAACUCUGUUAUUAGGGAAGAAGAUAUGUGUAAGUAACUGUGCACGUCUUGACGGUACCUAGUCAAAAAGCCACGGCUAACUACGUG
rnacentral:rRNA from 1 species